UCGCCCUUACUCCUACGGGAGGCAGCAGUGGAGAAUCUUGCACAAUGGGGGAAACCCUGAUGCAGCAACGCCGCGUGAGUGAUGACGGCCUUCGGGUUGUAAAGCUCUGUCUUCAGGGACGAUAAUGACGGUACCUGAGGAGGAAGCCACGGCUAACUACGUGCCAGCAGCCGCGGUAAU
rnacentral:rRNA from 1 species